rnacentral:rRNA from 1 species
AUUGAACGCUGGCGGCAGGCCUAACACAUGCAAGUCGAGCGGGGUUUUCGGACCUAGCGGCGGACGGGUGAGUAAUGCGUAGGAAGCUACCCGACAGAGGGGGAUACCAGUUGGAAACCACUGUUAAUACCGCAUAAUGUCUACGGACCAAAGUGUGGGACCUUCGGGCCACAUGCUGUCGGAUGCGCCUACGUGGGAUUAGCUAGUUGGUGGGGUAAUGGCUCACCAAGGCGACGAUCCCUAGCUGGUUUGAGAGGAUGAUCAGCCACACUGGAACUGAGACACGGUCCAGACUCCUACGGGAGGCAGCAGUGGGGAAUAUUGGACAAUGGGCGCAAGCCUGAUCCAGCCAUGCCGCGUGUGUGAAGAAGGCCUUCGGGUUGUAAAGCACUUUCAGUAGGGAGGAAGGGUGUUGUGUUAAUAGCACAGCAUUUUGACGUUACCUACAGAAGAAGCACCGGCUAACUCUGUGCCAGCCGCCGCGGUAAUAC